GCGGCGUCGCGGGGCGGGGGCCGGGCGGGGGACGUGAAGACUCUCGGACGGGACGCGGGUGUGCCCGAGCACAGCCGGGAAAGAGGAGCGGGGGCGCCCGGCGCUCCGCCCCACUCUUGGCUCCUGACUGCUUGGGCGGUGGUGCGAUCUGGUGGAUAAACUACGCCCUUAGAGCUGAUGCCUCCGUGUUCCACUCGUUCCUUUUUCACAACCGUCGACCGAGGCAGCAGUUCAGCCCGGCGUGGGGGCCAGAGAGGAGUAAAGCCUGGCUUCAGCCAUCCCAUGCACCCGACCGCUCGGCUUCCUCACACCCCCACCUCCUCCAUCCCCCCCCCCCCGGCCCCUCACAACCAGCCGAGGGAAAGUAAUAAUAUUGCAGUAAGAGGGUGUGAGAUAACCGGGAGGCAGGAGGCCCCCAGUCCUAAGACCUUAGCGGAGACUGGAACCACCGCCCUCCAGCCGUCGGGGAAGGUCGGGGAAGGCCCUUGUAGGCUGGAUGAACUAGGACUCCGCGUUCAAACGCAGUUAACGAUCCACGCAUCCCUGUCUUUGCGGGGCUCCGCUGGAAAAUUACCCGACUUCAGAAAGUCUGAGCCUCGACACCUCUUACAUCAGCCCCAAAUCUUGCUUUAGAUGUGAGAAUCAGGGACCCCAGGAAAGCGGGAAGGAAGAGGAGAUAGGACACAGCUCAGCUUCGGGUGUUAAAAUGAACGCCCCCCCCCCACCACAGCUCCCAGGGCUUUGAAAGGGGCCUCGGCCCGCCCGGACCUCGUCAUUUCCCGGAGUCUGAAGACAUUGGCUCUGGACCCCCUCCUCCCGGCGGCUCCGACGCACCCCUGAGCCUGCGAGCGUCUGGGGCGGUAGGGUGCGCGUGGCUGGCCCUGCCUCUCGUCAGGCCCCAAGCCUGGGAGGCGGAGCUCCGCUGCCCCGGGGGCGGGGACCUGGCCGGCGGGCGUGGCAUCGAGUUGGUUCGGGGCGGGGCUUCCUGGAGGCCUCCGGGCGCUGCGCGGCGGCUGGCCCUGGCCGAGGCCCGCACUCGGGAGGAUCUCCCCGAGCGCCCGCAAGGAUCACGAGAGCGGGGAUGCGGUCCUCCGCGACCACCACCAGCAACGACAGCUGCACCUUCCAGGCCUCCUUCCCUGUUGCGGGCGCCUGUUUUGCGUCUCCUUUCCCGCACUAUGCCUGUGUCGACCAGAAAGCCUGAAAUACGUGAACACACUCCACACAAGGCUGCUCAUUGCAGCCCAACUUGUAAUAGGACUGGCCAGACUGGACACAGAGCGAACAGGUUAUGAUGAAGCGCUGCCGUGGGGAAGCGUCCAGCUGCGUCCUGGUUGACCCGCAGUCACAGAGGAUGGACGCCUGCCCCAGACCACUCCUUUCUCCUCCAUCAUUCCUCCGUCACCUCCUCCCCGCCCCCGCCCCGUCCCCCGCCCCGUCCCCCGCCCCGCCCCGCCCCAACACUGGAUGCAGCCUUGGCCCAUCUGGAUCUCAUCCUUCCUGAGGAUCUGAAAAACCCGACCCUGGACAUUGGCUCUCCAGGCGACUCGGCCAGGCCCUCACCUUCUAUUCAUUUUGCAAAUGAAGAAUAUCUGUGUAUUAUUAUAGGAUGACCUCCAGGAUCCAUUAAGUGGGGGGAAAAAGGGAAAACAACAAGGUGGGAAACAGACACCUCAGAGAAAUGUAAAUAUACAUAUUUGUUGUCUUACUUACAGUUUUAUAAGUGGAAGUAUAAACAAAAGGCUAACAAAAACAGUUACCUAUGGGGAGAGGAAAACCAGGUGGAAGAGAUGGAAACUGGUAUUUUCUGUAUGUACCCUGUCUUGUACAUUUGAGUUUGGAAACAUGUAAAUGUUUUACAUCAUUAAAAAAUAAAAUAA